rnacentral:rRNA from 1 species
GACGAACGCUGGCGGCGUGCCUAAUACAUGCAAGUUGAGCGAUGAAGCUUGGUGCUUGCACCAAUUUGAAGAGCAGCGAACGGGUGAGUAACGCGUGGGGCAUCUGCCUUUGAGCGGGGGACAACAUUUGGAAACGAAUGCUAAUACCGCAUAACACCUUUAAACAUAAGUUUUAAGUUUGAAAGAUGCAAUUGCAUCACUCAAAGAUGAUCCCGCGUUGUAUUAGCUAGUUGGUGAGGUAAAGGCUCACCAAGGCGAGGAUACAUAGCCGACCUGAGAGGGUGAGCGGCCACAUUGGGACUGAGACACGGCCCAAACUCCUACGGGAGGCAGCAGGAGGGAAUCUUCGGCCAUCGACGAAAGUCUGACCGAGCGACGCCGCAGGAGUGAAGAAGGUUAUCGGACCGUAAAACUCUGUUGGUAGAGAAGAACGUUGGUGAGAGUGGAAAGCUCAUCAAGUGACGGUAACUACUCAGAAAGGGACGGCUAACUACGUG